CUUCUCUCCUCCCUAUUUCAGUGUGGCUUUGAGGACGUGUGCACACGGAAGACACAGACAGCACUGCAAAGACCAUGUGUACAGAACUGCUUCUCAAGGUCAAAAUGAGAGGAUAGACAACAUUCAGAUAAGUCUAGAUUUUGGCAACAAGAACUAUUGGCAGCCUAUCAGUCAGUGCUAGAAUGUUCACACUAUCUCACUAAUUAAUUGAUAAAUUUAUCUUGUGCAAAUAUUUAUUAUCUGGUAUUACCAUUUCUCAGAAGGAUAAUAAGAAAAGAAACCAAGCCUGUGGCAUUUUGGUGACCUCGAGCUAAGAGUCCCAGAACACAAACAACAUCUACAGGUGUCCUGGGGAAGUGCCGCUAUGUUUACUACGGGAAAAACUCAGAGGGCAACAGGUUUAUCCGAGAUGACCAGCUCUGAAGCCAAGUUCUGUGUGCCUUAGCCUACUUCAUGACAAUAAAAGAAAAAGGGAAAUCAAAAAUAAAGACAAAACUAAAGAGAAAA